rnacentral:lncRNA from 1 species
GAAAUAUCAGGAUUUUUUUGUUAAAAUACAUUGUUGAUGAGAAGAUUGCACCCAUCUCAUUUUUCUAUCUGAUUUGAGGUACGAACUUUAAUAACUGGAUGACAAGAACUCAUUGCAAUCCUUCCAUUUGUGUAUUUUACAUGUAUUUCCAUGCCUUUAUUGUGACGUCCUAAUUAUAUAGAAAAGAAAUAUAUAAAUAAGACGUCAUCAUGCAUAAUAUUUGAAAGCAGUUAAAGAAUAAAGGAGGUGUUUACAGUCAUCCUUAAACAGUAUAAGAAUCUAGAAUUAGAGUAUCAUAGACCUCUUGUAAAAACACUAGGAAUUUAAAACUUUAAAAACAAGAUAAAGCUCUUCAGAAUAAAUUGAGAUCAAAAUAACAAGGCCUAAAGAACUAAGCUGCAACAUCUCUGUUUCCUUCCAGGGCUCUCUCCAAAGUAACUUCCUCGUCAUCUGCUCCCAUCCAAGUGGAUGAACAUCGCAAAUGAAAACACAUACAACAUGGCACAAACACAAACAAAUGCAAGGGUGACCUAAUUAUAUAAAAAAAAAAAUCAUGCAAUUGUACUAACAUGAACAUAUUGGAUUCAACCCAAGUAAAGUAUAUACAAGCAAGACAAUAUAUACAACACAAUCCUAACAUAUUAUUUUUUAGACUUGACUCGUCCGGACUUUAGAAUGAUAGUCGAGCUAUGGCGGGUCAUGCAUCCGUGGUGGCUUGUGAUACUUAGGCUCCCCCGCCUUGGGCUCCCCCGCCCUGCCACUCACGAGGUUAGUCUGUUCCGCGUCCUAGAGCAUGAUGGAAGCCUCCAAGACUAAGAUCUCCUGCUACUCUUCACCACAUGGUUCAGUCCUUUCUACGUGAGAAGAAAGACCAUUGGAGCGUCAAGAAGACCCUCAAGACUGAGCUCCUACUUUCAUUCUAAAACAUUAAGAAUCUCACCAAGAGAUUCUACACAAAUGGAACUUAGUUUACCACUUGAUUCGUACUUUCAUCACUUUGUAAUCAUAUACUUUUUGCCACAACCAACAUAUACAUAAUCUCAACCGCAUGCAUUGCUCACCAAUCAGAAAACUUAUAACAAAGCCUCAAUACCUUUCAUACAUAGUCAAAAGAUGAUAAAAUAAUACUUAUAUAUAUAUAUAUAUAUAUAUAUAUAUAUAUAUAUAUAUCUUUCAUCAAAUCAUAUAUUCAUUAUCCAGGCUUUAAUUAAAUCUCACCCGCACUAACAAAUUACCAUCAUGCUAAAUGGCACCAACAUUUCAUAAGCCAUAUACAGCAAACGUCACAAGCUCUACAUCAAAUCAAAAUUUCUAUUAUAUUACCCAGAAUGAGUUUAAAUAUGUAUCUCUAGGUAUGUAUAUAAAAAAAUAACCCAACUAGAAAUCUUAGGAAAAAAAAUACCCCAAUUACACAACCCUUGCGGAAACCCCUCACCACUCUUUGAAUGAUAAUCAUUCAGUCACUUCCUUCUCCCAUACCCCUGGAAGUUUAUGUGCAUGCAGUGCUUUAUUCACUCCUUUUUCUUUUCCUAAUUAACUACCGGAAUGGGACCCACAUGGCUAUACUCUCUCUUUUUCUCUAAUUCUUACACGACCUCUCUCUUCAUUUUUUAUCUUUUCAUAUAAUAUAUUUAUAUAUAAAAAAAAGCUUAUGGUUAUAAAUCAUAAAAGUUAUAUAAUAUAUUUGUUGUGAUAUAUAUAUGUAUAUAUAUAUAUAUAUAUAUAUAUAUAUAUAUAUAUAUAUUUGCUGUUAUCAUAAAAGUUUGUAUAAAACGUAUAUAUAUUAUUAUAUAAUAUACUAAACAUCAUAAAACAACGUGAAUCUUUGCUGUGAUAUAUAAAAUAUAGAAUAAUACAUUAUUUACAUGAUUUUCNUAGCAGUAGCCUUUUUAAAUCUAGAAUUUCUUUAUAUAAGUGGAAUCUGUGCUACUAAACACUAAACUUUUAAAUUUAGAAUUUCAAUCAAAAUAAAGAAAACAAUGUCUCCUUCUCUGUAUCACGCCUAUAACAAUCUAGCUUUUCCUCGUCAAUUGUCUCUAAUUUUAUUACAGAGAAGAUACCAAACCAUCACCAACGUGAGAGAGAGUUAGCCAAACUCCUACCCUGUUUAUUACAAGAAUGACAUUUGUUUUAUUUUAUACUCUCAAAUAGCCUUAGGCGUUACUUUGCUGCAAUCACACACUCAUAUAUAUUAUCUCACAUCACCCACCAUAGCAUACAACACAUCACAUUAUAGUUCAUCAAUUUCAGUAUCCAAACACAUUCAAUUUAACUUACAGGAAUCCAACUCAAGCAUAAGGACAUACUUACUUCAAAAAUUUAUCCCUCAUACACAUCAUAUAAAUAAUAUACAGAAACAUAAUUAGCUCCCCUUACCUAGUUUUCUCAAAGAGCAGCUAAUUAAAAACGCCCCAACAAGAACCCACUCAGCUUUGAAAUUAUAGAACCUACAUAUCACCAAAUUGGUGAUAGAACACAGCUCUUAGAGCUCGAAUAGGCGGAGAAUGGAAGGAAGAAACUAGCAAAGUUGCAUGCCCUGGGUUUGAGACUGUUGAAGAAAAAGGGGGAAAGCGACUUACCGAUCGGAACAAGAAAUUGUUCGGUUCAAAGUGAAGCCCAUGCCAUCGCGAUCGUUUAGGCACCUUCAAUUUAAAGUUCAAACGGUUCAAGGUUGGAAUAUUUUAGAGAGAAGGCAGAGUUAUUAUUUAGGAGAAGGGUUUCUGUUUUUAGAGAGAAGGGAAAAUUGGAAAAUGGAGACAGUCUGAUUUUUAGAAAACUCCUUCCUAAGGUCAUGGGUCCUUAGCUUAUGGGUUGACUGCCUCAACAUAAGGCCCAAUAGCCUUAUUAUUUUUCAGGCUCUUACAUUUAUGACAGCGUUGAUCAGCCGUUAGUAGCUGCAAGGUAGCAUUUUCAUUGGAUGUCAGGCUCAUGUUGAUGUUUUCAAUUGUUGUAAUGUUGAGGCUACUGACAUAUGAUUCUUCAUUUGACAUAUUUUGAGGACACGCAGUGCAAUUGAUGUUGCCUAGUUCAAUUUAUCUUCAUAUAUUUCUAGAAUAUAUCUUUUUUGGUUUUGGCAGUCUAUGGAUAAAUAUUUUGUUAACUAGUAAUGCAUUUGAGUGCAUUAUACUUGAGGAUUUAAUCCAUUUUAUUUGUUGUUGUUUCCAUCAUUACUACAGUUCUAUGGUAUUUAUAAACCAUCGUCAAACCAGAUAUCAUACUGUAGUGUAGAGGAAUGCUAGCAUAUGGGAAUGAGGUACUUGUUUAGUUGGACUCGGGAAUUACAUCUGAUAGGAAAGUGUGUUGCAAGGAGGUUGUUGUUGUAUGUGCUAAUAUUUCUCAUAUUGAAUGUGAGUCUUGAGGAAGUUGUUAUGAUAUGGUGUAAUUGUUUUGCAUCUGAGGUUGACAGUUAACAUAGGGGAAAUGGGAACAAAAUACCUGGUAGUUAGGACAUGCUAAAUCGUUACCUGUUGUUGACACCUUCCAUUUUGUUUAUGUAAUCUUGUUACAGUUACAUUUUCCUUUGUUUAUGCCUAAUAUAGUUGAAUGAUUUCCAAUAAUGGUUUGGUUGUUUUUUAUGAAAAUAAAAAUUGCUUAUUUAGUCGAUAUCUGAGUUUAACACUAGUUUUCCACUUCUAUAUUAAUGUUUCUGUAUAAGCAUUGGUAUGGCCAAGAACUAGAGUUUCUGGUGAGUGGCUUUGGAACUUGAUUUUUUAAUUUGAAGAAUACAGAAAAGUGAUGGUAGUAAAAUGAGAAGAAGCAUAAUUACAAAUUGAUGGUAAUGAUUGUUGUUGGUUUCACGAAAAUUUAGGAUAGUUAGGAUGGAGUGGUGCACCUGGGAGCAGAGGAGGAAGAGGAAGAGAGACAGUAAAAUGUCCCGUGGUUUUCUCUCAACUCUUUUUGGUUUUUAUAAACAAAUAAACCACACAUCUCUUAACCUAACAUAACCUAAGAUUCUGCUACAGACACUGACAUCUUUCUCCUAUCCUGAUCACUUUAUUAAUGAGGAUAAACUAUGGUUUUGAUAGAAGAGGUUGAUGAGGAUAACAAAUGGUUUUGAUGGUUUGGCCAAAACGGAUGUCCAUAUCCGUUUGGCUUGAAACGGAUUCUGCAACAUCCGACGGAGGUGAGAGAUAUAAAAGACGGAUAUCAAAAGUUUGGAGAGCGAUCUCAAAAGCUUGUCUUGGGACGGGGCUUUCAGCAGAGUAAAAAUGAAGAAGUAGGGUUGAGGGUUAACAUUAAAACUAAAAAAAAGUAAAAAGGUUAAAAAAUAAUAAAACAAGGUUAUUUUUGUAAUUAUAAUAAAAUUCAGAAAGUUGGAAAGGUGAAUGGAGCAAACGAAGAGGCAACACUCCUUCAAAUUGCUUUGGUUUCUAUAAAAAAAAAAUCCUAUAAGUGGCGGGGAUGGAUACGAAUGAUAAAGGCAGGGGUAUCCUGCUUCUGGAUUCAUCAAUAAAAAAGAAUUGUUUAAUCAUUUCAUAAGAUAUUUUAAAAUUUGAAAAUGUAUUCCAAAACACUGAAAAAGUAUAAAAAAUUACAUUCUGAUUGAGGAUUUUAAAAAGUAUUUUUUAUUCAAAAAU